rnacentral:rRNA from 1 species
GAUGAACGCUAGCUACAGGCUUAACACAUGCAAGUCGAGGGGAAACGGCGUUGAGUGCUUGCACUCUUCGGACGUCGACCGGCGCACGGGUGAGUAACGCGUAUCCAACCUUCCCAUAACUAAGGGAUAACCUGCCGAAAGGCAGACUAAUACCUUAUGUAACCCUUUGACGGCAUCAGAUUAGGAUUAAAGAUUUAUCGGUUAUGGAUGGGGAUGCGUCUGAUUAGCUUGUUGGCGGGGUAACAGCCCACCAAGGCAACGAUCAGUAGGGGUUCUGAGAGGAAGGUCCCCCACAUUGGAACUGAGACACGGUCCAAACUCCUACGGGAGGCAGCAGUGAGGAAUAUUGGUCAAUGGGCGAGAGCCUGAACCAGCCAAGUAGCGUGCAGGACGACGGCCCUAUGGGUUGUAAACUGCUUUUGUAUGGGGAUAAAGUCAAUCACGUGUGAUUGUUUGCAGGUACCAUACGAAUAAGGACCGGCUAAUUCCGUGCCAGCAGCCGCGGUAAUACGGAAGGUUCGGGCGUUAUCCGGAUUUAUUGGGUUUAAAGGGAGCGUAGGCCGGAGAUUAAGUGUGUUGUGAAAUGUAGACGCUCAACGUCUGACUUGCAGCGCAUACUGGUUUCCUUGAGUACGCACAACGUUGGCGGAAUUCGUCGUGUAGCGGUGAAAUGCUUAGAUAUGACGAAGAACUCCGAUUGCGAAGGCAGCUGACGGGAGCGCCACUGACGCUUAAGCUCGAAGGUGCGGGUAUCGAACAGG